AUUGAACGCUGGCGGCAGGCCUAACACAUGCAAGUCGAACGAGUGGCGGACGGGUGAGUAAUGCUUGGGAAUCUAGCUUAUGGAGGUGGAUAACUACGGGAAACUGUAGCUAAUACCGCGUACCAUAGGAUGAGCCCAAGUGGGAUUAAGUAGUUGGUGAGGUAAAGGCUCACCUAGCCGACGAUCUCUAGCUGGUCUGAGAGGAUGACCAGCCACAAUGGGACUGAGCCACGGUCCAGACUCCGACGGGAGGCAGCAGUGGGGAAUAUUGCACAAUGGGGGCAACCUGACGCAGCCAUGCCGCGUGAAUGAAGAAGGCCUUCGGGUUGUAAAGUUCUGUCGGUAGCGAGGCGUUAACUACAGAAGAAGCAACGGCUAACUCCGGGCCAGCAGCCGCGGUAAUUC
rnacentral:rRNA from 1 species